GGUUCGUCAUGAAGCAAUACACGAGCCUGGAAGACGAAGUAGGUUGUGGAAGUAUGAGGAUAUCUUUUCUAUACUGAGGAAUAAUACUGGAACAGAAUAUGUUAAAGGCAUGAUGCUAAACUCCCCUCCAUGUAAAGAACACUUGAAUGCCAAUGCCUUCUCAAAGAUGGGAGGACUAGAGUUGAUUAAGAUCUGCAGUGCAGUCCGUUUUUGGGGCCUUAAUCAUCUUUCUAAUCAAUUACGAAUGAUGGAAUGGCAUGAUUAUCCAUUGAAAUCCAUGCCAAGGAGUUUUUGACCAUGCAAUCUUGUUGAACUUACUAUGCCUAAUAGCCAGAUUGAGCAACUACCAGAAGUAUUUAAUAAUUUGAACCU